AUUUUUUAAAACUCACUUAAAAUUCACUUAAUGUAACAGAGUUACAAAUGUACUUUUGUUAAAUUUUUAUUUCUUAUUCAUUUUAUAUUGAGAAUUUGUGAAUUUUAUCUCAUUCAGUUAUUUUUAUUUAUUUUGUUGUUUUUGCCUGUGGGGGUCGCUCUUCUGCACUCCGUCUCAUUUGUGUUUCCUGGGCUUCCUUAGUUGGUUCCAGCCCUCAUAGCUCCUCUGCUCCCCCGCCCCCUUUCCCUCACAGCGUUGUUCCCGCUGCUGUGUUGUUUAUUAUUGUUUGUUAGUGUAUUAUUUUGCAGUUUUUACCAUCAUUGUGUAUUUUCUUUUUAAAAAGACAGUUUUAUUAUAAUUUCCUUUUCUUUUUAUUUUGGCGCGAACAGCCAGUGCUAGUUCAGCACAGCUGAGUUGAACGUUGGUUUUAUUUUUACGUUUAGGACUGCAGAGAGAGAAAGAGAGGGAGUUGAAGAAGUUUUGAUUUGUUUUCCCUUCUUUCCCAGGUAUGUGUUUUUAUUUUUAAGUUAUACUUUUUAUCUCUGUUUAACUUUGUCCCACUGUAUUGUGUCGUUGUGGCCACCAGGUGGCGUUUUUCUCCUCUUGUUUUAGUUUAAGAUUUUUGUGAGAAGAUUUCUUUUUUUGUGUGUGUUAACUGUUAUUAAAGUUGCAAAAUGUAAAUGUUACCUGACAGCGUUGUUCCCGCUGCUGUGGGACUGCAGAGAGAGAAAGAGAGGGAGUUGAAGAAGUUUUGAUUUGUUUUCCCUUCUUUCUCUGCUUAGUACAUUGACACAGUAGACUUCACCUCCACACUCCUUAUAGUGUCAUACAGACUGAUGGACUGUACUCUGACUGACUCUGUCGGCUACAUUAUAAGUCAACAUGCACCAAAUGAAAAACGUACCUACAGAUAAAUUUAAAUUUAGCACUUAGGAUUUUUAGUGUUUGUGAGUAUUUUUAGCUCUUAGUAAUGUUGGUCUGGUAAUUGUGUUAAUUUGGUGAUUUAGUGUUUUUGUGGUAUAUUGUGUGAAUUGUAGUGUAUGUUGUGUGUAAUGUCUUGAGCUGCUGGGACUUUGAAUUUCCCCUGUUGGGAUCAAUAAAGUAUUCGUCAUCGUCAUCGUCAUCUUUCCCAGAAAUAAAAAAAGAAUUUAAAUAUCCUGACCAAGUGAGUUCUGGAGACUUAUUGAUGCCAUCCGUUACAUUAACACUUACUUUAAAUUAUUAAUUUCAGUAUGUUUUAAAUUACUUCUGAGUGUAUACUUUAGGCUAAUAAAGUAUGCCAUUUUAGGUGUCUUAAUAAUCUUUUACUAUUUUUGUUAAAAUGUCAAAGAAUAAAAACAUAACUGUCCUUAUAGUGAAACUUGAUGCAAUGUUUAACAAAGUAAAUAAUGUGUUCAUACCUCAAAAUAUCAAACCUUUAGUGACAGCGGUUCUACAACAAAAACAAUACUUGUCCUGAACACUAAAUGUAGCAGGUAUCUUCAGUUUUACAUCUCUCCGAAUAUGAUCUGUUGUUUUCAGUUUUUUAACUAAAACACGGAAGAUGUAUUUAUCCUAUCCAUUUAGUGAACGGCAUUAGCUCCAGUUCCCACUCCAGUCCAGAUGGUGGCGGUAUUGCACACUUUCAGGUUUUUUUUAAACGCGCUAUAAAAAGAAGAAAUGCCAUGAAGCCAGAAAAAUUAAUAGACGCUGUUCAAAUUCGCCAUUUUUACUCGCAUAAUCAUGAGUUAAAAGUAGAGACGGCCUUGAUAGUUUUGGUAAAUUCAAGCUUGUGGCGUCCUAGUCCAAGUUGGACGACAACACAACAAGACAAGAACCGAUGGAAAUGAAAUGUGGGUCACGAAAGGAGCUCGAAGGGACAACGUGUUGCUAGCUGGCGUCUAAGCAAAUGAAGAUGAAAGAUGAAGCCAGGGAUCAGGAAUUAGAAAACCUAAAGACGUUCUCGACUCAUUAGAAGCUUUGGCUCCACCAGAUCACUAACCAGUUCUGAGGAUUAACCCCCAAAUCGUCUUUGUGGUGUAAGUCGUCUUUUUUUUUUUUUUUUUUUUUUUUUUUUAUCUUUUUCUUCUUCUUUUUUUUUAACUGAGCAACUAGCUACAUUUUCAACAGCAAAAACUGGUGUUACCAACACUAAGUGCUUAAUAAACAUGAUUUGAUUUAAAAAAUAAUUUGACAGAAUUUAUUCCCAUUGUUAAUCUAUUUCUCUUUCAUACAUUUUAUUUAUUUGUUGAAAACGUUUAUCUUUACUACAUUAACAAAACCAGAUACAAGCUCACAUGACACCGCUUGCUUCAGAGCAGAUUUUUUUUCUUUUGUCCCUAUAGUUUUGGGGAAAAAAAGUUUAAAAACAGAUGGCAACUAGACUUUUCCUGUUUCUGAAAGAUGUUCACCUUUUUCACCCAAAAGGCUUCUUCAGUUGUGAAAAUGGUUUGGAAGUAUCAGGUUUAAUGUUCUGGUCAGAACAAUCACACUAAUGGGGAUUUCAAGGGUCAUACCUAGGUCAGUGUUACUUGCUGUUUCAAAUGUGUUGGGAACUGGGGAUUUUGGUUUUUCUUUGUGGGUUUUUUUUCUGUUUGCCUGCUGCUUCCACCUUCAUUCACCAGAUGCUGCAGACCUGGAGGGGUGUGCCUGCUGACCCUGUCAGCGCACCUGUGUUUCAUCAUCCAAUUAUCCUGGAGCUUAAGAGGAGCAGACUGCCAGCACUUCAGCGCCUGAGUGUUUGUGUUUCCUCGUGAUGCCUUGUGACAUUCCCUGUGAAGCCCUACUUCUGGCUUUCUGGAUUUUUUUCCCCUCGUGGACCGUUGCCCACUUGUUGCCUGAGUCUCAUCUUCAUCCUAUUCAGAUUGACCAUAAACCAUUCCUGGAUUUCCCAGCUGGGUGUUAAUCUGUUCCGCCGUUUUCCUCCACGCCUGAACUUACCUGUCCGCCCUCCGAUGCAGCCUCCAGAGCAUCACCCGAAACAAAGUCAGCCGAGCCCACUCUCUGGAACCUGGAUCAACUUAAAGAAACCAAAACCACGAACCUGCAGUUUCUCCUCUUCUUGGUAGAAAUAUUAAGUAAGAUCAGUCUAUUACUCUCGAAGUUCCCAUUUCUGAAAACCACAAACUCACCAUCUCCCUUUGCUGGUCCUUAGUGUGUAGAAGACUCAGAUCCACUCAACCAAUCUUUUCAUAUUGUUUUAAUAAACUUUAUUUAUUUGAUUCCUGUUCUCCUGGUGGUGUUCUGCAUGUGAGUUAAGAAGCUGGAUCCCAACAUGACAAAAUGUCUCGCUGAAGAUGCCAAGUUUUUAGGUCGCAGGCCUCAAAGUGUGACCUGGCAGUGGAGAUUACAUAAAGUUCCCCUUCACGUUUUAGAGAAGAGGAAGCCUGAGGACAUCUCCUCCCCUUUUUUAAAGGACUGAGUUUCCAAAAAGCUGUCUCAAUUUGAUUAAUGUUUUACUGGUACAACUCAUUCGUAAAUUAUAAACAAUAGUGAUCCCCAAUUUCACUACUAACAUUAGAAGUCUUCUUACAGUAAACUGAAUUAGCAGAACAGGAUAUCAGAAAUCUCUAAAGGAAAACACUCACAAUAUGUAAAUAGACAUAGAGGGAGAAAAUGUGAGUAGAGAAUUGCUGUAGUUUUACACACAAAUGUGUCAUUUAAUUACAAUGUUUGAUAGAUUAUAUUAAAUUUUAACAAUAAAAUUAC